rnacentral:rRNA from 1 species
ACGAACGCUGGCGGCGUGCCUAAUACAUGCAAGUAGAACGCUGAAGAGAGGAGCUUGCUCUUCUUGGAUGAGUUGCGAACGGGUGAGUAACGCGUAGGUAACCUGCCUUGUAGCGGGGGAUAACUAUUGGAAACGAUAGCUAAUACCGCAUAACAAUGGAUGACACAUGUCAUUUAUUUGAAAGGGGCAAUUGCUCCACUACAAGAUGGACCUGCGUUGUAUUAGCUAGUAGGUGAGGUAACGGCUCACCUAGGCGACGAUACAUAGCCGACCUGAGAGGGUGAUCGGCCACACUGGGACUGAGACACGGCCCAGACUCCUACGGGAGGCAGCAGUAGGGAAUCUUCGGCAAUGGGGGCAACCCUGACCGAGCAACGCCGCGUGAGUGAAGAAGGUUUUCGGAUCGUAAAGCUCUGUUGUAAGUCAAGAACGAGUGUGAGAGUGGAAAGUUCACACUGUGACGGUAGCUUACCAGAAAGGGACGGCUAACUACGUGCCAGCAGCCGCGGUAAUACGUAGGUCCCGAGCGUUGUCCGGAUUUAUUGGGCGUAAAGCGAGCGCAGGCGGUUUGAUAAGUCUGAAGUUAAAGGCUGUGGCUCAACCAUAGUUCGCUUUGGAAACUGUCAAACUUGAGUGCAGAAGGGGAGAGUGGAAUUCCAUGUGUAGCGGUGAAAUGCGUAGAUAUAUGGAGGAACACCGGUGGCGAAAGCGGCUCUCUGGUCUGUAACUGACGCUGAGGCUCGAAAGCGUGGGGAGCGAACAGGAUUAGAUACCCUGGUAGUCCACGCCGUAAACGAUGAGUGCUAGGUGUUGGAUCCUUUCCGGGAUUCAGUGCCGCAGCUAACGCAUUAAGCACUCCGCCUGGGGAGUACGACCGCAAGGUUGAAACUCAAAGGAAUUGACGGGGGCCCGCACAAGCAGUGGAUUAUGUGGUUUAAUUCGAAGCAACGCGAAGAACCUUACCAGGUCUUGACAUCCCGAUGCUAUUUCUAGAGAUAGAAAGUUACUUCGGUACAUCGGUGACAGGUGGUGCAUGGUUGUCGUCAGCUCGUGUCGUGAGAUGUUGGGUUAAGUCCCGCAACGAGCGCAACCCUUAUCCUUAGUAGCCAGCAGGUAGAGCUGGGCACUCUAGGGAGACUGCCAGGGAUAACCUGGAGGAAGGUGGGGAUGACGUCAAAUCAUCAUGCCCCUUAUGACCUGGGCUACACACGUGCUACAAUGGUUGGUACAACGAGUUGCGAGUCGGUGACGGCAAGCUAAUCUCUUAAAGCCAAUCUCAGUUCGGAUUGUAGGCUGCAACUCGCCUACAUGAAGUCGGAAUCGCUAGUAAUCGCGGAUCAGCACGCCGCGGUGAAUACGUUCCCGGGCCUUGUACACACCGCCCGUCACACCACGAGAGUUUGUAACACCCGAAGUCGGUGAGGUAACCUUUUGGAGCCAGCCGCCUAAGGUGGGAUAGAUGAUUGGGGUG